rnacentral:tRNA from 2 species
UGGGGUGUCGCCAAGCGGUAAGGCACCAGACUCUGACUCUGGCAUCCCGAGGUUCGAAUCCUCGCACCCCAGCCA